rnacentral:rRNA from 1 species
CACGUAGGGGGCGAGCGUUGUCCGGAUUUAUUGGGCGUAAAGAGCUCGUAGGCGGUUCGGCAAGUCGGGUGUGAAAUUUCGAGGCUCAACCUCGAAACGCCACUCGAUACUGCUGUGACUGGAGUCCGGUAGAGGAGUGCGGAAUUCCUGGUGUAGCGGUGAAAUGCGCAGAUAUCAGGAAGAACACCAAUGGCGAAAGCAGCUCUCUGGAACGGUACUGACGCUGAGACGCGAAAGCGUGGGGAGCGAACAGG